CGCCGCCGCCCUCGCCGCGACACGGCUGUGGGCUGUCGACGUGCUCGCCUGGGCCGCGCGGCCCCAGACGCCGGAGCCCGGGGCAGCCCUCUCCCGCCGCCGCUCACGCCCGCCGCAGCGCUGCCCUCCGCCCUGCCCGUGUCGAGCGCAGCCCGUGCCCAUCCGCGGGGCCUCCGGCCGGCGAACCCGGCGGCUCUGCUCCAGCCGCGGCGUCCCCCCGCCCCCCGGCCCCACGGCACGAGCCCCCCGCCCGGCGUCGCCUGCCCCCUCCAAGUGGAGGUCGGGACGUGCUCAUCCUACCGGGGCCCCCACGGCCUCUCCAACCCUCCCACUCCACCUCCUGCGCCCCCCCCUCGGCGAGCUGCUCUCCAGGCACACGACCUCCCGCCGCUGCUCCACCAACAGGACAGUGACACCCAGGCCACAGGACCUUUGCACGGAUGUUCCUAUUCCGGGGCGCAGCUUGCCAGGGCACAUCUGGCAAGUUAGGAAAUCAUUCCCAAACCUGGCGGGCACUUGAAAUAAAUACAGAUUCUCAAGCCUGCUGCAAAGCCAUGAGUCAGCGCCGCUCUACAAGGACCCAGGACGCUGACUCCCAGUUACGGCUGCUACAGCCCCCCAGCACAGUCCCACGUCAGGGCUGAGGGGGCAGACCUGGCCCCCCAUUCCCAAAGACGGCCAAGACACCUUCCGUGAGUGGAUUCCUCAUCAACAGAGCUUAUGCGUAGUGACACUCCAACUGCUGCUUCCCUUCCAGACUUGAAGGCUGAAGUUGUAACCAUGGCUGGGGCCAUGGUUCCCAAACUUCUAUGUCCCAGGAACCCCUUACACUUAAAAAUUAUCAAGAACCCCAAGCCUGUGUGCAUGUGCUUCAUGUCUAUUAAUAUUUCCUUCAUUCAAAAUCAAAAUUGAAACGUGUUGAAAACAAGAAAAUUCCAGCACAUGUUCCAACAGCCAUCAGAGCAACGACACUGCCACAUGUCACAGAGCCACUGGAAAGCAACUCCACAUACAAGAUGUCUUAGAAUUAGUUUGACCAUGUUCCAAGGACCCCCUGAAACAAGUUGAGCCCCCCUCGCUCCUCAGGGAUCCCUGAUGAUACUUAGAGAA
rnacentral:lncRNA from 1 species